UGGCUCAGGACGAACGCUGGCGGCGUGCCUAAUACAUGCAAGUCGAACGGUCUUUCUAUGGAAGCUUGCUUCCACUGAGAAGAUAGUGGCGAACGGGUGAGUAACACGUGGGUAACCUGCCCAUAAGAGGGGGAUAACAUCCGGAAACGGGUGCUAAUACCGCAUAGUUUUCUUGAUCGCAUGAUCGGGAAAGGAAAGACGGCCUUUGUGCUGUCGCUUAUGGAUGGACCCGCGGCGUAUUAGUUAGUUGGUGAGGUAACGGCUCACCAAGACGAUGAUACGUAGCCGACCUGAGAGGGUGAUCGGCCACAUUGGGACUGAGACACGGCCCAAACUCCUACGGGAGGCAGCAGUAGGGAAUCUUCCGCAAUGGACGAAAGUCUGACGGAGCAACGCCGCGUGAGUGAAAGAAGGUUUUCGGAUCGUAAAACUCUGUUGUCAGAGAAGAACAAGUUGGAGAGUAACUGCUCCAGCCUUGACGGUAUCUGACCAGAAAGCCACGGCUAACUACGUGCCAGCCGCGGC
rnacentral:rRNA from 1 species